CGUUAAGAAGCUAUGCAACAGCACUAGCCUUUUAAGCUAGCAACAGAGAGGCCCCCCCCUCUCCUUAAUGA
rnacentral:tRNA from 1 species